rnacentral:rRNA from 1 species
AUGUCUAGGAGAAUGUACCAAGGUGGUUCUUCAAGGAAGCAAGCACCAAGGCGUGCUAUACGCGAACCAGACUCUGAACUACCAAGGGAAGCUCAAGUGAGGCCGUGUGAAUGGCCAUUGGAGGAAUUUAUGGAUCAUGCAGGUUUCAAGGAUGAAUUCUAUGUGUACGUACAAAAUGCCGGCCUCGAGGAUUUUUUAGCAGGCAAGUGCUUACAAUAUUAUUAUAUCACUGAUUCCUUCGUACGGAGGUUUGAGUUUUCAUCCAAGCGCAAUACUCAUAUUGUCCUGUUUGAUCUUUAUGAUGAAUCGUAUACCAUGGACCUAGAAGAUUUUUGUGAUGCAUGCAAAAUUCCACAAUGGGGUAGUCUUAGUGAGCCCCAUAAAUCUGAAUAUAAUGAUUUCCUUGCUAGCACCAUUGUUGGAGAAACUAGAAAUAUCACACAAGCAACCGUAGGGAGCAUUCACUUUCCUGCCAUACAUUAUUUUGCUCUCUUUAUUGGUAGAUGUAUUAAUGGUAAAGAUGAACAAUGCCAUAUUAGCAUACCAGAUCUUAGUAUCCUCAAGUGUGCGGUGUUAGGUGAUAAACGAUAUAAUUUGGGGUCCAUUAUUGGUAAAAGGUUACAUCUUAAAUCUAAAGAUGGACAUUUAUUUGGUGGGAUCUAUGCAACUCGUUUAGCUAAAUAUUUGAAUGUACCUAUUAGAGGAUAUGAUAUUGAGUUGCCACCUGCUUUUAUGGAUUAUGAGGCUAUGGUACGCCACAAGUUUCUUAAGAGGAAUGAGCAGAUCCUCCAGUACCGACUAAUCUUUGAUAGACGGCGUGCUACCCUUGUUACUCUUCCUCCUCCUGCUCUCUUCAACUUUUAG